rnacentral:lncRNA from 1 species
AGAAGGCAGCUGUGGAGUUAUUGGGUACAAAGAAAGCCCAUAGGAAAGCCUCGAGGCCAUUCCUCAGGGAAGCGCUUGCUGAUCCGAAUGGCUGGUCCAGGGCCCCCGGGUUCGGUCCCAAGGAACCAACCUACAGUGAAAGGCAAGGACUUAUAAUCAUAGCCAUCAAGCUGGAGUCUCAACCACAAUGGGAAAAUGUUGUCACCAGUAUAAAUAUGAAAUGUGUGGAGGGAAGGAGGCCCAUGGCAUUCACAGUACAGGCCCCUUCCUGGAGAACCUGAGCAGCACAGAGGCUGAGGAGGAGGCAACAUCCUGUGAUGAAUUUCUGCCGAGGCCAGAUGGAUGGACCAGGCCACAGACAGAUGCAGAGGAGGAGGGAACACUCACCUCUUCUUCCAAGGUCCUGGGAAUGCAAAGAAUAAACCUCAAUAGGCACCUGACCAGAGGAGGCAGACUUGUAAUCACAGGAUAAUGUGGGGAGCGCAACGAUAAAGAGACGUCCGCGGCUUAUGGGUAGAACAGAGUGGGCCAUAUGAAUCCACGAUAGGAUGAUCUUGCCACUAGCAACUGAAAACUUGGCUACAGAGAGCUUAAACAAUAAAGAGAUGCGUGACCUUCCA